AUUGAACGCUGGCGGCAGGCUUAACACAUGCAAGUCGAGCGGAGUGAUGGUGCUUGCACUAUCACUUAGCGGCGGACGGGUGAGUAAUGCUUAGGAAUCUGCCUAUUAGUGGGGGACAACAUCUCGAAAGGGAUGCUAAUACCGCAUACGUCCUACGGGAGAAAGCAGGGGAUCACUUGUGACCUUGCGCUAAUAGAUGAGCCUAAGUCGGAUUAGCUAGUUGGUGGGGGAAAGGCCUACCAAGGCGACGAUCUGUAGCGGGUCUGAGAGGGUGAGCCGCCACACUGGGACUGAGACACGGCCCAGACUCCUACGGGAGGCAGCAGUGGGGAAUAUUGGACAAUGGGGGGAACCCUGAUCCAGCCAUGCCGCGUGUGUGAAGAAGGCCUUAUGGUUGUAAAGCACUUUAAGCGAGGAGGAGGCUCUUUUGGUUAAUACCCAAGAUGAGUGGACGUUACUCGCAGAAUAAGCACCGGCUAACUCUGUGCCAGCCGCCGCCGUAA
rnacentral:rRNA from 1 species